rnacentral:lncRNA from 10 species
GCCUAGGUGGGAAACUGAGGCUCAGAAGAAUGCACUUGCCUGAGGUCGUGCAGCCAGAACACAGGCUCCCUGCCUGCCACCAGCCCACUCCUUUACCCCUAGUCACCCUUAGUCACCCACUACAGGUCUCAACGUGCUCCUGGUUGGGAAGUCUCUUUUCUUAUCUAAACUCCAUUCAUCUUACUGCAGGACGGGCCCCUCGGUAUUGGUAAAUGUCAUAUCCUCAGGAUCAAGAAGUCAUUCCAAAAUGUGAAGCGUUCUGAAGAUAUGCACAUAGCGUAAGAACCUGGUGUAAUGUGCUGGUCAAGGCGGUCUCAGAGAGGAGAUGACGUUUGAGCUGACACCUGAGGGAUGAGAAGAAAGCAGCCAUUCCCAGGGCCCAGGGGAGGCAUCCCAGGAAGCCGGAUCAGCAUGAGCAAAAGCCCUGAGGCCUGGCACAAGUUGGUCUGCUUGAGAAGCAGGAGAGAGCCCUGAGCAUCCGGAGUGCAGCAAGCGAGAUGAGCAAGUCAAGAUGCAGAAGGACUCUCUGGCUUGUCCAAGGUCACACGGCUGUUAGGAGCAGAGCAGCGUCCUGGUGCCCAAGCCCUGAGGUCCCCAGCACACUGCCUCUGCAAUGGCCACAACUGUCCAAAGACUAAGCUGACUCUCACACCUGGUAGUGUCUGUGGUCAUUCACUGUGGAUGGAAGUGGAGAAAUGCAGAAAACAGAAACACAGCUUCCCCUUUUCUGUCAUAUUUCUGUAUCGUUGGUGUUUGGAGCCAGUUGAGCACAAAGGGCCCCUGAGUGCUGUUUCCUUGUGAUAUUUGGGGGUUAACAGCUUCCCCUCAUCUCUUAAUUACCUGCCCUCCUUCACUUCAGCUGCACAUUCGUUAAAGAAUGCUCUCCCAGGAGAAGAGCUUGGUGUUAUCACCCACAAACAUCUUAGAAAACUAAUGCUAUCCUUGAGUGCCUGUUUACAGAAACAUUUUUACAUCUCACUUGACAUUUCCAGCAAAUCUUGAUCCUUCCAGCCAGGAAUAUUAAUAUAUAGGUCUUGAAAAGUGCAAGAGGCUCUUCCAUGGCUCCAAGCACAUUUGACACUCUUCCUUUUCUGAUCCCCAAGCAGACAGUGAUGAAACCCCAAUAGCUGGGCGAAUACUCAUCCAACAGGAAGAAUCAGUUUUAAGAGCUGGGUUCUCAGGGUCAAAUACUGUGGUGUGGCCUUUUGGUUGUAAUGAGUUGAAUGGAGGUCUCAAAAAAGAUAUAUCCAUGUUCUAAUCCCCAGAACUUGUGAAUGUGACCUUAUUUGGAAAAAGAGUCCUUUUGGAUGUAAUUAAGUUAAGGAUUUUGAGAUAAGGAGAUCAUCCUGGGUUAUCUGGGUGGACCCUAAAUCUGUUGACAAUGUCCUUAUGAGAGACCCCAGAGGGCACAGACAGGAAAGGAAGAGGCAAUGUGGCCCCAGAGGCUGAGAUCAGAGCUCUGUGGCCACAAUUCGAGGAACACCUGGAGCCACCAGAAGCUGGAGGAGGCAAGGAACAGAUUCUCCCUGAUCCUCUGGAUACAGAGGGAGAAUAGCCUGGCCGACACCUUGAUUUUGGACUUCUGGCCCCCAGAACUGAGAAAAUUAACUUCUGUUGUGUUAAGCAGCCACGUUUGUAGCAGUUCAUCAUAGCAGCCCUGGGAAAGAAAUACAGUGGGCUUCCAGUUCAAGGAGGAUCCACGAGGCCUGAGCUCCAUCUGUCGAUUGGAAUCACCAAAAUCAAGGUUGUGUGCGGGUAACGCCAGCACAAGCAGCUCAUGCUGGCAAAAGCAGACCAAACCGGCUCACGCAACGUCAAGUCAUCUUGAAGUGGUUCACGCACCACAGUGAGUGGUAUUGAUUGUGGUUAAGAGCCAGGUUCAAGGAGGUUUAUCACUCAGUAGCCAGGUAAAGCAGGUUCCAGGCCUGGCUCCACCACUCAACAACCGGGGAAACAGGGGAGCAGACCUGCAGAGGGGCCAGAAGACACCUGGCCGGGUGGGGAGCAGCCCCUCCGUAAUAACAAUCGGAACCUGGGAAGAUAAGUAGAGUCCCAGGGGAGGGACAGAGUUUCCCCUGUGUCACCACAUGGCUACUUUGACACAAAUGCACGUGGGCAGAGAGAGGCAUGCAGGUCAAGGGCCUGGCAGGGAGUCAGGGGCCCUCAGUGCCAGUCCUGGCUCUGCCUCUGCCUCUGACACGCCAUGUGACCUUGAGCAAGUCACCACCCUGUCUGGGCUUCGCUAACCCAUAUACGGAAUGAGAAGGUAUCGUCCCUGGUCACUGCAGGUUUUAAAUCAUGUAGUGAGAGAGAGCUCAUUUGGUCCAACUCUCUGCAACUGAAGGAAUGGAGACACCAAGGGGGAGUAAUCGGCCGCAGUGAUGAGUGGGUGGCAAAGGGAGCUAUCACUACCAUUGAUUAUCCAGCUACUUGUGCUUGAUAAACUCCCUCCUGGUGGAAUGGGCUUUCCCACAUCCAGCAGCACAAAUGCUGUGAGCAUCUACUACGGGCUGGGCACCUUCUCUGGGCUGGCACUUGACAUGGGUUAUCUCAUUUAACUCCCUAACAACCCUAUGUGGUAUUAUCAUCCCCAUUUCACAGGCGGCAAAACUGAAUCCCAGAGAGAAGACUCACUCAGACACAGCUAUCUGAACACUCUUUUCCAGUUCCCCUAGGGCAGCAGAGGAAGCAAGGUGGGGGGAAGCCAGUGGUCAAGGAUUCCAUGCGGAAUGUACCCUAGAAUUAACCCAUGGAGAGAGGGUAAGGGAACGGGCUCAGGCCUGGGAAGAAGUGGGGAGGACAGUGUCCUGUUGACCUAUUCAAAAACAUCCAGUUUUAGUUAAUUUUUAGUUCAUUAGUCACCACUUUUUAUUAGUAUCUCAUGUAUUCUUUCACAGUUUCUUUCUGCAGGUACAAAAAUAAUGAUUUUUUUUCUUUCUUUUUCUUCUUUGAGACAGGGUCUCGCUCUGUUGCCCAGGCUGUAGUACAAUGGUGCAAUCUCGGCUCACUGCAACCUCUGCCUCUGGGUUCAAGCGAUCCUUUGCCUCCGCCUCCUGAGUAGCUGGAAUUACAGGCAUGCACCAUGAUGCUUGGUUAAUUUUUGUAUUUUUAGUAGAGUCAGGGUUUUGCUAUGUUGGCCAGGCUGGGCUCCAACUUCUGGUCUCAAGUGAUCCACCCGCCUCGGGCUCCCAAAGUGCCAGGAUUACAGGCGUGAGCCACUAUGCCUGGCCAAAAGUGGCGAUGUGUUCUUAAUGCCCAUUUUCACAUAAAAGGUAAUAAUCUACCCACACCAUGCUGUACCUUGUUUGUUUUUUGUGUGUUUGUUUGUUUGUUUUUUGACAGAGUCUUGCUCUGUCAGCUAGGCUAGAGUGCAGUGGCACAAUCUCAGCGCGCUGCAACCUCCGCCUCCCGGGUUCAAGCGAUUAUCCUGCCUCAGCCUGCUGGGUAGUUGGAAUUACAGGAGCCUGCCACCAUGCCCAGCUAAUUUUUGUGCUUUUAAUAGAGAUGGGGUUUCACCAUGUUGGCCAGGCUGGUCUCGAACUCCUGACCUCAAGUGAUCCAUCCACCUUGGCCUCCCGAAGUGCUGGGAUUACAGGCGUGACCCACCGCGCCUGGCUCUUGUUUGUUUUUUUAACUAAUCACACAUCUUAGAGACCUUUAUCAGUAAUUAGAGAGCUUCCUGGAUCUUUUAUAUCACUGCAUAAUAAAUAUUCUAUUAUAUAGAUUAGAAUAAUUCAAAUUACCAGUUCCCUAUUGGUGGACAUUUGUUUCUGGUUUGUUUGUUUUUUCUAUUUUUUUUCUUAUCACAAACAGUGCUGCAAUAAGUAAUUGUGCAUAUGCACUGUUUCACAUGUGUGCAGGUAUACCUGCAGGAUAAAUUCCCAAAAAUGAAUUCCUGAUUUAAGAGUAUCUUUUUUUUUUUGAGACAGGGUCUUGAUCUGUUGCCCAGGCUAAAGUGCAGUGGCAUGAUCACGAUGCACUGCAGCCUCAGCCUCCUGGGCUCAAGCGAUCUUCCCACCUCAGCUUCCCAAGUAGCUGGGACUACAGGCAUGUGGCACCACGGCUGGUUAAUAUUCUCAGUGUAACAGAGUUUCAUCACAUUGCCCAGGCUGGUCUUGAACUCCUGGGCUCAAGCAAUCCUCCCACCUCAGCAUCCCAAAGUGCUGGGAUCACAGGCAUGUGCCACCAUGCCUGGCAGGUUGAAAGUACUGUAUGAGUUAUCUAUUGCUGCAUACCAGAUUAUCAUAAACUCAGCAGUUUAAAAAAACACCCAUUGUUUAGCUCACAGUCUCACCUGAACUGGGUGCUGAGUUCAGGGUGAAACCAAGGUGGCGGCCAGGCUUGGUUCUUUUUUGGAAGCUCUGGGGGGAAAAUCUACUUCCAAGGCCAUUCUUGUUGUUGGCAGAAUCUGGAUCCUUGUGGUUGUAGAACUGAGUCUCUGGUUUCUUGCAGGCUUCCAGGAGGGGCCUCCCUGGGCUCCCGGAGGACACCCACAGUCCUCACCAUGCAGCUCCCUCCAACAUCAAGCCAGGAAUGGCCGAACAGAUCUUUCUCAUGCUUCAAAUCUCUGAUGAAUUUCUCUUGCCAGAGAAAGCUUGCCAUUUUCCAAGGGCUCACCCAGUCAGAUCCGUCCAACAAGGGUGAUCUCCCUAACAUUAGGUUAACUGACUUGGAACCUCAGUUAAUCUGCAAAAUCCCUUUUGUCAUAUAAUGGAAUACAAUCAUUUGGUUCACAUGCUCAUCUUAUUCACAGGCCCUACACUCAUACAAGGGCAGGGGACCACAGAAGAGUGAAGGCCAGUGAGGGUCACCUCAGAAUUCUGCCCAACACCGGUGUUUUGUAAUUUGGGUAGAUGUUGCCAUGUUGUCCUCCGUGGGGAUUAUGCAGAGGGAACUCUCCUCCUCCAGCAACAGUACAUGUACCUGCUUUUCCAUGGUGCUGCUUAGAGAAUGUUAUCAAACCUUUGGAUUUCUGCCAGUCUGAUAGGAGAAAAAUGGAAUCUCAAUUGUAUUUUAAAAUUGUAAUUAUCGCCUUAUGAAUAAGGCUGAGCAUUUCCUCAAAAGCAUAAGAGCCAUUUAUAUACUUUUUUCUUUAUGGCUUCUGGUUUUGAGGCAUAGAAAGGUCUUUCUAGCUCUAAAGUUAAUCAGAAAUUCUCUGUUUUCUUUUUGCUUUUUUUAAAAUUUUACUUUAAGUCCUUGGAUACAUGUGCUGAACGUGCAGGUUUGUUACAUAGGUAUACAUGGGCCAUGGUGGUUUGCUGCACCUAUCAACCCGUCAUCUAGGUUUUAAGCUCCACAUGCAUUAGGUAUUUGUCCUAAUGCUCUUCCUCCUCUUUCCCCAUGCCCCCAACAGGCCCCGGUGUGUGAUGUUCCCCUCCCUGUGUCCAUGUGUUCUCAUUGUUUAGCUCCCACUUAUGAGUGAGAACAUGCAGUGUUUGGUUUUCUGUUCCUGUGUUAGUUUGCUGAGGAUGAUGGUUUUCAGCUUCAUCCAGGUCCCUGCAAAGGACAUGAACUCAUUCUUUUUUAUGGCUGCAUAGUAUUCCAAGUUGCAUAUGUGCCACAUUUUCUUUAUCCAGUGUAUCAUUGAUGGGCUUUUGGGUUGCUUCCAAGUCUUUGCUAUCGUAAGUAGUGCUGCAAUAAACAAAUGUAUGCAUGUGUCUUUAUAGUAGAAUGAUUUAUAAUCCUUUGGGUAUAUACCCAGUAAUGGGAUUGCUGGGUCAAAUGGUAUUUCUAGUUCUAGAUCCUCGAGGAGUCGCCACACUGUCUUCCACAAUGGUUGAGCUAAUUUACACUCCCACCAACAGUGUAAACGUGUUCCUAUUUCUCCACAUCCUCACCAGCAUUUGUUAUUUCCAGACUUUUUAAUGAUUGCCAUUCUAACUGGCAUGAGAUGGUAUCUCCUUGUGGUUUUGAUUUGCAUUUCUCAGCUCAUUGCAACCUCUGCCUCCCAGGUUCAAGCAAUUCUCCUGCCUCAGCCUCCAGAGUAGCUGGGAUUACAGGGGCACGCCACCAAGCCCAGCUAAUUUUUGUAUUUUUAGCAGAAACAGGGCUUCACCAUGUUGGCCAGUCUGGUCUCAAACUCCUGAUCUCAAGUGAUCCAUCCACCUCAGCCUCCCAAAGUGCUGGGAUUAUAGGCGUGAGCCACCACGGCUGGCCAUUCUCCUGUGUUUUCUUCUGGGGCUUUUAUACUUUCAUUUUUUAAAAUCCAUAGUUUCUUGGAGCUGGAGGUGUCCCUUGUCAUUUUCUCAUCAGUGAGUGCAAAGCAGGAUCCCAAAAGGAUUGGAGUCCAGAGUAGAGAAAGGAGCUGCCGCGGUGGAGUCUGUUCAGUGCAGGCUCUGAUCUCCUUCAGCCCUGCCAGGAAUCCCAGCCAGCAGAUCUUCUUCCAGCUUCCCUUUCUCCAGCACUCUUGAUCUUCUGGGCUGGCACAGGGUCCAGGGUUGAUGGGGAUCCUAGCUGCCUGAGGAGCUUCCAGUCUGGAGGGUGAUACAAGCACAUGGCCAGACCUGAAUUCAAGCCAUGAGAGAGAUUCAGAACCUGGGCUGGGAGCGCAGGGGAGGGAGCGGGGUGCUGAUGGGGGUGGAUGGGAGGCUCCAGAGAGGAGGUGGCGUCUGAACUGAACCUUAAGAAUGAGGGGAAAUGUAAUGGCAGCGAUGAGAAAGGGGAGGCACUUCAGUGCAGAGAACAGCAAGAGCAAAGACAAGGAGGUGGAAAAUCAGCCAGAAACCUAGCCUGGAGAGGGUUUAGUGGACCAUGGGUCCUUGAUGGUAGAGACACAACAUGACUUAUCUCUGUGUCCCAUCCUCUGUGCCAGAGGCGGCAUCGACCAGACUUGGACAAAUGAAGCAGAAGGGACAGGGGACUUAGAAUACUAGGCUGCAUCAUUUUCUUUUUACUCUGACAGUGAGAAGCAAAGACCUCCACAAAGAAAGAAGCCCUUGGCUGUGUCAUCAUUUUAGAAUCUGGGCACUCUCUGCACACCACUGCCCCCUCAUGGCUGAUCUAGGAAUUCUCUCUAAAUCCCAGACUGAAGGUGAGGAGGAGGCUCAGUGAGUCUUAGAGAUUUGAAAAGCCGUGAAAUCCUGGUUGGAGAACAUCUGAGUCCAAAGGGCCCUCAGAGACUCUCUGACUUCCUCAUUA